GUGUGACGGGGUGACUAGUGGCAGAGUGAGGGAAGGAAGGGGUGACUAGUGACAGAGUGAGGGAGGUGGUGACUGUCACUAGUCACCCUCCUCCCUCACUCUGUCACUAGUCACCACCUCCCUCUGUCACUACUCCCUCCCUUCUAUCACUAGUCACCCCCCGCGUUCCUUACUCUGUCACUAGUCACCCCCUCCCUCACUCGGUCACCUGUCACGC